rnacentral:rRNA from 1 species
UACGGGGGGGGCAAGCGUUGUUCGGAAUUACUGGGCGUAAAGGGCUCGUAGGCGGCCAACUAAGUCGGAUGUGAAAUCCCCAGGCUCAACCUGGGAACUGCAUCCGAUACUGGAUGGCUUGAAUCCGGGAGAGGGAUGCAGAAUUCCAGGUGUAGCGGUGAAAUGCGUAGAUAUCUGGAGGAAUACCAAUGGCGAAGGCAGCUCGCUGGGACGUGACUGACGCUGAGACGCGAAAGCGUGGGGAGCAAACAGG